GUUUCACUAAGGGCCCAUAAAUUCAAGGUAUGUUAGCUAUCUGUCGCUCUAUGGACCCCUUAACCGAGUUAAAUCGAGUUAAGCGCGCGUCUUUAUUUAAAGAGUUUAAGACAUUGCGCAUGCUGUUGGGCUCUGAAAGCAACGAACGUGACCGCAACGUCUUGUUGCCUUAAUAAAGCAAGUUGUGUUAAUAGCAAUAUUAACCGAUUGCUUACAGAGGCUAUUUAAAACUAGACGGACCGCUGUUUCUUUUCUUAAACCAGAGGAAGGUUGCGGCAAUAACAGGUCUGUGAUGCCCUUAGAUGUUCCGGGCUGCACACGUGCUACAAUGAUCAGUACAGUGAGCAUCUCAAUAUAAUACACCGUCUUUAGCGCUUAGACGCGAUUAUCGGCUUACUUUUUAUUAAGGAGGUCUGUUUAAUCGAUGUUUUCUAAUGUGCGCGGUAAAGCCUGCUUCGAGAGUAAGCGGGUAAUCCAUUGGAAGUAAUGAUUUCUCUAUAUCUAGUGCACAACUAUGCACGGCACUCAUUCCCGAGACGGCUAGUUUCGUCUUUUAGUGUGAAUGUGGUGUUAUUCAAACGUGCGUGCAAUUGUCAAUUCAUGGUGGGGACAGACCAUUGUUAACUGUUGGUCUCGGUCUUAACUAGGAAUGCCUUGUACGGGUCUUUGGUUCAACAAACCACCCGGAAUACGUCCCUGCCCUUUGUACACACCGCCCGUCGCUCUUACCGAUGGACUUUUUUGUGAGUCUAAGGGACUGGGUUAAACCGCUCGUUUAUUCGGAUGGCAGUACCUAUGGAAACUUAUGCGAACAAAGUGGUCUAAAGGAAAGAGAAGUCGUAACAAGGC
rnacentral:rRNA from 1 species